rnacentral:rRNA from 1 species
GAUGAACGCUGGCGGCGUGCCUAAUACAUGCAAGUCGAACGAAACUUCUUUAUCACCGAGUGCUUGCACUCACCGAUAAAGAGUUGAGUGGCGAACGGGUGAGUAACACGUGGGCAACCUGCCCAAAAGAGGGGGAUAACACUUGGAAACAGGUGCUAAUACCGCAUAACCAUAGUUACCGCAUGGUAACUAUGUAAAAGGUGGCUAUACUACCGCUUUUGGAUUGGCCCGCGGCGCAUUAGCUAGUUGGUAGGGUAAAGGCUUACCAAGGCAAUGAUGCGUAGCCGAAUUGAGAGGUUGAUCGGCCACAUUGGGACUGAGACACGGCCCAAACUCCUACGGGAGGCAGCAGUAGGGAAUCUUCCACAAUGGGCGAAAGCCUGAUGGAGCAACGCCGCGUGGGUGAAGAAGGUCUUCGGAUCGUAAAACCCUGUUGUUAGAGAAGAAAGUGCGUGAGAGUAACUGUUCACGUUUCGACGGUAUCUAACCAGAAAGCCACGGCUAACUACGUG